GGGCCUGUGGUCUAAUGGUAAGAUACCUCCCUCGCAUGGAGGAGACUCUGGGUUCAAAUCCCAGCAGGUCCA
rnacentral:tRNA from 1 species